CUUCAAACCUGUCCUCUUCCCACCAGUCUCCAUGGUCUCUCCAAAGGCAGGACAGAAGAAUUCAUGAGUCAUGGAAACAGAAAACAGGAACACUGGUCCAACGUGGUACAGAAAAGAUUGAGCUAUUUCUGAAGGUAAGAAUGUCUCACUGUGUAAAGAAGGUAAGGGGGGAACACAGGAGAAAGAAAGGAUGUGAGCCCAGCCGGCAGCUGGCUGGUGGCAAGGAGAGCCCAAAAUGCUCACGUAAUAGGUGGAACCCAGCAUGUGCUCCACAAAGGGGGACCUGGGACAGGGGCUUCAAAGGCCCGGAGCUAAAGAACUGGAUCCUACUCUGUAAACAAGCAGGUGUAGUCUGAAGUUUGAGCUCACAGCUCUAUAACGACAGAGAGCAAGACAGAUUUGAGAAGUAUUUGGGUUAACUGGCAGGACCUGAGGAAAUGUGCCUGGGGAUUGUGAAAAGGGUGAAUCAAGGAGGACUCAGUUAGGCUCCUGGUGAGGGCAAGAGGCAAGUGGAGGAACCGUCACCACUUGAGAUGAAGAAGCCAGGAGAAGAACAGGUCCUGGUGUCCUAGUGGCUGUCAUUCACAUUUGAGAUGGAUGCCACCAGUCUGCGUGUGGGAAGAGAGCGCUGAGAUCAUUGCAGAGCAAGAGGUAGCCCGAGUGAAGGGGAAGCCCAGGGAUGGGGGGAAAAGAUGCCAGAAAAGAAGAAAGGUCAAAAGCCAGAUCUGUUCCCUCCUCCACAGCCCUUGUGAUGUGACAUAGUACACCACUGACAGAGCAGGCAAGACACCCAGGGUCCCGACUCCUGGUCUACGUAUUCUUUAUUUCUGUCAUAUUCUUAUAAGAUGGAGACGCAAUAUUACUUUCCUCUCUCCUUUCAAGAAUCUGUUUUUCCCAGCUAUCUCACAACAUUUAAAGUUUUUAAAAAAAUAUUUUUAAUUGGGGCUGGGGUUGUGGCUCAGUGGUAGAGCACCCGCCUCGCACGUGUGAGGCACUGGGUGCGAUCCUCAGCACCACAUAAAACUAAAUAAAGAUAUUGUAUCUAAGUAUAGCUAAAAAUAUUAUGUAUAUAACAUAUUUAUGAUGGACACAAUACCUUUAUUUUAUUUAUUUAUUUUUAUGUGGUACUGAGGAUCGAAUCCAGUGCCUCACAAUUGCUAGGGAAGUGCUCUACCAUUGAACCACAACCCUAGCCCCAAAACAUUUAAAAUUUAAUUUUAAAAAUAAAAGAAAGGACCUGAGGAUGUAGAUCAGUUGUAGACCUAAUGCUUAGCAUUCUUGAGGCCCUGGCUUCAAUCCCCAGCACCAAAGUAAAAGCAAUAAAUGCACAUUAAAAUAUUCAAAUGAUCUAGAAAAGAACAAAACAAAAAUUUAUUCUUCCUUUCCACAUUCCAAGCUUUCAAUUUCUUCACCCUUUCUAUGGGGGAAGUUGACCACUAUUAAAGGGUUCUUGUGUAUCUCUGAAAAAAACUGAAUAUCUUCAUCUAUACUUGAGGGUCCAACCCAGGGCCUCACACAUAGGAGGCAAACACUUUACCACUGAGCUACAGCCCCAGCCCCUAGCAUAUACUUUUAUUUACACAAAUGGUGUCAUGCUACAAGCACAAUGCUUUGUUCAUAUAAUAUGUCAUGUUGCUUGUUCAUGUAAUAAUCUGUCUUCAGAGGUAGCUUGGUAUGGUGGUUGAGAGAAUGGCCUUGGGAGUCAGAAUGCUCAGUUUUCAUCCAACAUUGUGAGACAUUCUGAUACCUACAUUUGUGAGACAAUAGACAGGUUAUUCUGUGUUUCAGUUUUUGCCUUUGUAAAUGAGGUUAAUAAUGGUACCCCACUUUACAGGAUUGUUGUGUUAAAUAAGUUAAUAUAUCUAAAGCACUCAGAAUACUAAUUGCUCUAUAUUCAUUAUUACUAUUACAUGCUUACAUCAACAUAUGUAGAUCUGAUCAUUUUCUUUUUUCACACAUUGCAAUAAAUUAUUCUGAAAAAAAAUAGUAAUUUUUGUUUGUUGUUUUUGUACUGGGGACUGAACCCAGUGACACUUUACCACUGAGCUACAACCCCAGUCCUUUUAACUUUUUAAAUUUUGAGACAUGGUCUCACUUUUCUUGCCUCAGCAUCCAGAGUAGCUGGGAUUACAGGUGUGCACCACCACAGUCAAAUGUUUUUGGUUUUGAGUUUCUUUUACAGUAAACUUUUCAACUACAAAUACUGAAUCUAAGAAUGAUGUUCUGGGGCUAGGUAGGUAUGUGCAGCUCAGUGGUCCAGCGGCUUGCCCAGUAUGUAAAAGGCCCUGUGUCUGAUCCCCAGCAUGAGGGAAUAAAAGAUGUUUCGAGGACAAGCAUAACAGGAUUGAUAAAACGCAAACUAACUAAAUAUAUACUUAUAAUAUAAACUGGCAUACAAAUUAUCAAAUAUCAUAACAACAGUAAUGUGUCAGGACACAUGACUAAACCAGGCAAGGUCACUCCAGGUGAACUGGGCUGGAACGAAAUAAUGACAGAGAGAGAGAAAUACUUUUCUCUUUGGGUUCUGUGACGGCCCCUCUGACCCAGCUCCCACAAAGGAGGUAAGGCAGGCAAGAAAGAGAGGGAACACGCCUCAAACCCGGGUUUUAUUGCGGGAGGCUGUCCAAAAGAACAUUCCAUCCAUAUAAGGCAGAAGGGUAAUGUUACAAGGGGCAGUUACUCCCACCGGGUAACGCCCACUCCCAGAGCUGUGCUCCUCCUCUGAGCAGAGAUGGGGAUCCCCCUGCACUUCCGCACUUCCAUCACUCACAGGUAGGGGGUGCUCAGCUCCCAUGUGGCAGCUCCCACGAUAAUGUACAUACACUAACGAUUUAUGGGUAAACAUUAACCAUUCUAAUUCCAGUUCCAAAAGAUAAUAGAGUUCAUUUUAAGUUAUAUUUAAAAGCUAAUGCUUUCCAAAGGGCUGAUGAUUUCAUAUUUAAAAUGCAAGGCCUCCACCUUGAAAUUGUAUUGUAUUGGCUUCAGAAAAAUAUAAAUCAUUGCUUUAUUUAUUUAUUUUUAAUAUUUAUUUUUUGUUACAGUGGGAAACAACAGCUCAAAUCUACAUUGUUAUAUCUGAUGCCAGCGAUCGAACCCAGGGCCCCCCACAUGCUAGGAAAAUGCUCCACUGCUGAGCCACCUCCCCAGCCAGUUUUGCUUUAUUUUGAAUAACUCACUAACCUUACGAAAAGAAAAAAGGACUAGGGGUUCAGCUCAGUAGCAAAGCACCCCUGGAAUCAAUCCCCAGAACCAGAGAGAGAGAGAAUAUCCCAUUGUAAGCACGCUAAUUAAUAUUUAGCUGAGUGGUGAUGGUGGAGUGGAACUGAUGAAAGAGGCUCCUAGACAUGUAGAAGUCAGUACAAAAACUUUGAUAAUUCUUGGUGGGUAAGGGCAACUUCAUGCAACCAAAUAACAUGAAAGUAAAUCAAUAACCUUCAGAAAAGACUAAAAUGUCUCCUCCCACCACAGAGAGCAAUGUGAACAGUGUACACGCAAACCGGGGUUCUGUCCAUGAGAACUAGGACUACCUGUAGUUCCUAUCAAACCCAAGAACAUCAGAGGCCCAGCCAUCUCACCUCCCGAGGCCUCCCUGACCCCAGCAAGUUAGGCAGCUGAGCCUCCACUGGUUUCCCUCAUGUCUCAAGUGUCUGCUGUGCCACGGGCCUCUCAGCCCUGAGGCUGCUCUGAUGUCCUCUCAUUUGCAGUCUUGUUGCCUUGGCUUCCUGGAGAUUCCCAGGACUCCUAGAGGACUUCCCUGAAGCGCAUGGCUUCUCCACUCUUGGGCUGCCCUCUCCAGCUUCUCUCUCACCCUCGCUGCCCUCAUCUGUGGCAUGCCCACCUUCUCCCUCGGUUUCUGAAGAGCCCUGCUGCUGAGCUGCGUGGAUUCCAGUACAUUUCACUCCUGGGUUACUGUCUAUUUCCCACAAUCCAUUAAAUCAUUUCCAUGUGUUUGACUUUCCAAACAUGUCUUUGCUUCUUUAUAUGGAAAAAGGUCUUUAGGGCCUAAAAAUGCAGUUUUACAGGUGCCAAAAAAUAAGGUAGGACACUUGUGUGCUGCUUCUCGGCGCCCCCCAGGAGGUCAUCCAUCCAGGAGGGGCCAGUGUGAGUAGCCUUCUUGUUGGUGAUGACCAGGUCACCUGCUCUGUAUUCCUGGGGCUCAGGAUGCAACAUCCUGGCCAUUCAUUCCCCUUCCUGGUCAUCCUCUGUAACCACCAAGACGCUGAGAGGCCACACCUCUCCCCCCUGCAGGCAGUGCCCCCAAAGACCUUAAACUUGGUGGGUGGGCCUGAUAAUUCUUCAUCAUUUUGGUGAUCUUCGAUCCUUCUUGUAGAUCAAAUUAUCAUCUGGGGUUAUUUCCCUUCAUGCUGAAGAAAUUCCUUUAGCAUUUCUCACAGUGCAGAUUCCUUGUAACACGUUCCCUUUGUUUUUCUUUAAAGCCAAGUUUUUAUUUUGACUGUGUGUGUAGGUGUGGUACUAGGGAUUGAAUCCAGGGGUGCUCUACCAUUGAGCUUCAUCUCCAGCACUUUUUUUUUUUGAGACAGGGUCUCACUAAGUUGCUGAGCUGACCUUGAACUUGCAGUUCUCCUGCCUUAGCCUCCUGAGCCACUGGGAUCACAGGUGUGUGCCAUCAUGCUCAGUUUGGCUUCAUUUUUUUUCCUGACAUGAUGAUGCCCAUUGUAUACUUUUCCUUCUUUCCACUUUUUUUUUUUUUUGGUACCAGGGAUUGAACCCAGCCACUUCCCCAUCCUUUUUAAAUAUUUUAUUUAGAGACAGGGUCUUGCUGAGUUGCUAAGUUGCUGAGGCUGGCUUUGAACUCAGGAUCUUCUUGCCUCAGCCUCCCAAGAUACUGGGAUUAAAGGCAUGUAUCACCACACCCGGUUCUUUCCACAUUUUUUAUUGAUGCAUUAUAGUUGUACAUAAUAAUGGGCUUGUUGUUAUAACUUGGCUUAAAUUUUAAAGGAAAGUUUUGCUGGAUACAUAAUUGGGGGCUGACAAUCAUUUUUCUUUCAGUACAUUUACUUCUACUCUCCAUUGUUUCUCCUAGGAAUCUGCUGUCACUGGGUGUGGUGGUGCAUGCCAGUAAUCCCAAGGAGUUGAGAGGCCGAGGCAAGAGGAUCACAAACUCAAGGUCAGCCUCAACAACUAAGCAAGAUUAUCUCAAAACUAAAAAGGACUGGGGAUAUGACUCAGUGGUAAAGUGCCCCUGGGAUCAAUCCCUGGUACCACAAAAACAAACAAGCAAACUUAUCUUUAUAUAUAUAUAUUAGUUGUAGAUGGACACAAUACCUUUAUUUUGUUUAUUUAUUUUUAUGUGGUGCUGAGGAUCGAACCCAGUGCCUCACACGUGCAAGGCAAGUACUCUACCACUGAACCCCAGCCCCAAACAAACUUAUCUUGCUGGGGGUUUGUUGAUUGGUCUGUAAGUUAAUAUAUUUCAUUAAAUUUGUAGAGUUCCUGGCCAUUGCUCCUUCAGAUAUUUUCUGCCCAUUCUUUCUCGAGUUUCCUCUGGAGCUCUAGUUACACACACGUUAGAUGGCCUGAUACUGUCCCAUGGGUCUCUGAGGUCUUUUCUUCAAUCUUUUUUUUUUAUGUUUCUAAAACUGAGUAAAUACUAUUGACCUGGUUUCCAUUUUUAUUAUUUUGAAAUGCUGGGGAAUCAAACCCAGGGUCUUAAGUAUGCUAAGCAAGCACUCCACCAGUGAGCUACAUCUCAGUCCAAUCCAUUUUUCAGUCUAAGAAGUUUUCUGCUACCUGGAAUCUGCUACUGAGCUUGGCCAGUAAAAAUUUCAAUUUAGUUAAUGUAUGUUUUUCAUAAAAUUCACAAUUUUCACUUUUUCUUUCUUUUAUUUUUAUUUUGUUUGUUUGUUUAUUUAUUCAUCCAUUUAUUUUGUGGUGCUGGGGAUUGAACCCAGGGUCUUAAGCAUGCAAGGCAAGCACUCUACCAACUAAGCUAUAUUCCCAGCCCUCUUUUUUUGAUUUUUUGAUACUGGGGAUUGAACCAAGGGGUACUUAAUCGCUAAGCCACAUCCCCAGCCAAUUUUUUAUUUUGAGACGGGGUCUCACUAAGUUCUUAGGGCCUCGCUAAGUUGCUGAGGCUGACCUUGUACUUGUGAUCCUCCUGCCUCUGCCUCCCAAGUCCCUGGGAUUACAGGCUUGCACCACCACACAAGGCAGUUUUCACUAUUCUAAGGCAUACAAUUCAGUGACAUUGGGACACUUUACAAUGUUACACAAGGACUAGAACCACAUCAUAAUUCCAAAACAAGACCCCAUUAAGCAGUCCCUCUCCAUUCCUGCCUCCUGAGCUCUUGGCAAACACUAACCUUUAGCUCUUUUCCAUAGUUUCAUAGUUUCUAUUUCUAGGCUGAUAUUUCCUGAUUGGUACUGUGCACAUAUCUGUAUAUAGAUGCUUUAACGUCCUUCCUUGUCUGUUAGUUAUAACAUCUUGAGUUUGGCUUGCUUUUUUUUUUUUUUUAUUGGAACUGGGUUGGCCUAGUGUCAGAGAUAUUUGUCCUUCCCACAGGUGACCAUGAACCUGUAUCCUGUGAAACCUCCACCUUAUCAGACAAAUGGAAGACUGUCGCACCCCCACCCCAACCUUGGAAUUCUGCAUCGGUGGCACAAUUCAGUAGGAACUGGUGAAGCAGCGAUUUCCAAGUAAAAAGUCUGUAUUAAUUACAAUUACGUAGAACUGCCCUUAUGGUAAACUUUUUACCAACAAAAUAUUCUUAUACUAACAGCAUUACCUGCCCCCCCCACACACACACAAAAAAUAACAUUAUCACAACAAGAAGUAAAUAACUGGCCAUUGUAUCUGCUUUUAUAAACAGAUAUUUCAUGGGAUUUGCCCAUCAAACAUAAAGGCACAUUUGUGAUUCUGAUAACCUAAGACUUUAAACUGUAUUACAAAAUUAUUGCUGUCCAGAGACUAAAGCUGAGGUUUACAAGCCUGUUCUGCCUUCCUGCGGGCCCACUAUGCUUAUAAAUGACACCUUCUAGUGUCUUAAAGUAUGAGAGGCAGCUAGUCCUGAAUUCUCAGGCUGCUAAUGGUUUCACAUAAAAUGAGCUCCUACAAUUUUAUUAGCACCAUGGUGGAACUUCACAGGUGAGGAGCCACCAGGGAAAGGACAAGGACACGGCUCUCAUUUCUGGCCUCUGACUGCUCCAAGAGCAAGGAAGUUUUCCACUCCAUAUUUCAAAUGAUUGCUCCAACUCCCCAGGCUGCUGAUUAAUCCAAAUAGGCUCUACUAUGUUGUUUAGGGAAACCAGGAAUAAGUCACCAAGUCAUCCCUCUGGAGAGAGGGUGAAGUGAAUUCACUUCCUAAACUCACAGCUGUGAAGCUGAUUAAGCAACUUCACUUUAUGAACCCUCAUAUUGUAUUGAGGCCUAUCAGCUGAUUGUGCACAUUGAGAAAUAACCCCUGGAAAAAAAUUAAAUUUCACCUCCCAAUCAGAUAAACCAGACAUGAGUUUCGUAAACAUGCCCACAACACAAAGAUUAUUGUAACUUGGAGAAGUGAUCAUGCUAGACACACAAGAAAAAGGUCCCAAUGGUUCUGUAAACUUCACGUUUUAGUGCCUCACAUUUAUAUGAAGUCUUAACAAUACACAACAUGCCAAACAGAGAACCGAUGGGCUGCUUUUGAAAGAAAACAACUCCUAGAAGCCUUUAAACAGGGCUGAUUACCCAAAAUUACAUGAAAUUACAUGUUCAGAUAUACAUAAUUUUGUGUAUUUCCUUCACUUUGAAAGUGACUUUAUAGUAGUCUAAGACUUCAUUAGAAACAUUAUUUUAUCUGGAAAAAACAAAACACCCUAAAACCAUACAAACUAAAAAUAUUUUUUCAAUUUUCAAAAGGAAUCAACUAAUAGUAUUUAUUUUUUACUAUCUAUUAACAAUAAAAUCAGUAAAUUAACUUUGAAGAGCCAAACAUGAAAAACAGUUCAAUAUGGCAGGCUCUUGGUUUAGAACUUUUUAAAAAUUUCAAAUUCAAACAAAACAAAAUUCCACAUAAAUGACUUACAUUAAAAAGCUUUCAAAACAUAACAAAACUCAACUUAAAACUUGCACACAAAAGUUUUCCUUUUUAAGGCCAACAAUCUGCCAGGAUCAUUCAUCAUAGGCUCAAAAGUGAUGAAAACUAAACCAGCUGCCAAAACGCAUGUACUUUGUAGCACAAAUGACUAAGGAUGUAACACCCACUAACUGACCUGCAGAGAAAAGGCAGCCUUAAUUUAUUCUGCCUGCUCUGGCUUUACUUUCUGUUAAAACAUAGACCCAUCACCAUGUUCAACCCUUUCUUCAUGCAUCUUAUCUUAAAGAAACAGGGACAAAGGAAAGAACCCAGAAAAGGAGUGGCAAGAAACAAACUGGGAUUUGUGAGUCAGAAAUUUAAGAUUAUCCCAUUUGCUAAAUCUAUAAUAACAUCACAAAUACUUCUUUCUUCUCUAAGGUGUAGAGUUGAAGCUGGAAUUAUUACCUUUGUUAUAUACUGGAUAUACUCCUCUGCACACAGUAGCUUUUGGGUCUUUUCCAAUUCAAAAGCACCAGUGCAGACACAGCGCCAAAGUGAGCAACAGUGAAGAGAAGUCCCGGACUAGAUGUCAUAACUGGGCAAUCCUGCCAGGGGAGCAGCAACAGAAGCCAGCUUAUUAUUAGUCUCCAAAUAUAGAAGUCUUUGUAACGGAAGCUCUGGAAUGUCAUCUGUCUUAAAUUACAUCCACCUGGGAUUACAUUCUCUUGACCAAUACAGCCAGAAUACUGGAACUUGAAAACCUCACUUUCUGGUAAUUGACAUUUAAAGUGUUUGAAGUUUCUCAUUAAGGUCUCUUAACAAAUUAACUGC
rnacentral:lncRNA from 1 species